rnacentral:rRNA from 1 species
CAGUGAUGGCCGUGUAGUGGACUGCCAUGGCGUUGACGGGAGCGGGGGAUUAGGGUUCGAUUCCGGAGAGGGAGCCUGAGAAAUAGCUACCACUUCUACGGAGGGCAGCAGGCGCGCAAAUUGCCCAAUGUCAAAAAAAACGAUGAGGCAGCGAAAAGAAAUAGAGCCGACGGUGCCUAGUGCAUUGUCGUAUUCAAUGGGGGAUAUUUAAACCCAUCCAAAAUCGAGUAACAAUUGGAGGACAAGUCUGGUGCCAGCACCCGCGGUAAUUCCAGCUCCAAAAGCGUAUAUUAAUGCUGU